rnacentral:rRNA from 1 species
CCUACGGGAGGCAGCAGUGAGGAAUAUUGGUCAAUGGACGAGAGUCUGAACCAGCCAAGUAGCGUGAAGGAUGACUGCCCUAUGGGUUGUAAACUUCUUUUAUAUGGGAAUAAAAUGUUCCACGUGUGGGAUUUUGUAUGUACCAUAUGAAUAAGGAUCGGCUAACUCUGUCCAGCAGCCGCGGUAAUACGGAGGAUCCGAGCGUUAUCCGGAUUUAUUGGGUUUAAAGGGAGCGUAGGUGGAUUGUUAAGUCAGUUGUGAAAGUUUGCGGCUCAACCGUAAAAUUGCAGUUGAAACUGGCAGUCUUGAGUACAGUAGAGGUGGGCGGAAUUCGGGGUGCAGCGGUGAAAUGCUUAGAUAUCGAAGAACUCCGAUUGCGAAGGCAGCUUACUGGACUGCAACUGACACUGAGGCUCGAAAGUGUGGGUAUCAAACAGGAUUAGAUACCCUUGUAGUC